UUCAGGACAGGUAGAGAGAAUGGCUAGAACUCUGAAAGAGACCUUAACUAAAUUGACCUUAGAGACUGGUGGUGACUGGGUGACUCUCCUUCCGUUCACACUCUAUCGAGUGCGUAACUCCCCUUACCAGAUGGGAAUAACCCCCUUUGAGAUAAUGUUUGGAAUGCCCCCUCCCAUUAUUCCUAACCUCCAGGCAGAGAAGAUUACUGAAUUUGAAGAUUGGGACCUGUUGGACGACCUCAGGGGAGUCCAGUGGUCCCAUAAACAUGUAUGGCCUAAACUACAUGCUCUUUGUGAGACAGGACCCCCUCCAGAACCUCAUCAAUAUCGACCUGGUGACUGGGUCUACGUUAAGAGGCAUUGGCAAGGAUCCUUAGAGCCACUGUGGAAGGGGCCCUAUGUCAUCCUACUAACCCCCACAGCCCUCAAAAUGGAUGGUGUAGCAUCAUAGAUCCACCACACACAUGUACGGCCAGCUGACCCAUUCACUGUAGAGGAGUGCGCAUCCCCAGCUUCAGGAUGGAGAAUUUCAAAUGAUCCCAACAAUCCGCUCAAGCUAAAGCUCACCCGAUUUUCAAACUGUUGACUGUAUAUACUCUGUUCCCCAUGAUAGCUGUUCCUGCUCCGGGAAGCCAGCAUCAACCUAUGAAUCUGACUUGGGUCCUCCAAGAUGUGAUAGGAGGGCCUAGAACUCCAAAAUACAAGUCCCAGAGAAACAGGACAGCGCUACUUAUUGCUCUCGCUGGGGCCGUGAAACAACAGAACACAUAUGGUGGACUCUUCAGGGAGGAGAUCUUAUUAAGAGACUAAGUGGACAUUGUCCUCUCUCCCAACUUCUCUGGGUUGGAAUCCCAUGUUGGUUCAAAGGAAUCAGACCUCCAAAGCCCCAUGUUCAUUGGAGAGGGAGGAAGAAGAGGAGAAAGAGUGAUGCAAUGUGAACAGGACAGAGCUACUUGCUGUUGGCUUUGAAGACAGAGGAAGGAGCCGCUGUGCCAGAAAGCACCUUCUAGAA